rnacentral:lncRNA from 1 species
UGACCUUGGGUGUAUAUUAAAGGUCACAUGAAUUAAAGAUUAUUGGUGAAGGUCCCAAGUCUCUACGACUUCCGGUUCUGGAAAUACAAUUUUUCUAAAAUUGUACACAAUUUUUCAAGGGGAAUAACUCCUUAUAAGGGUUAAUAACAAAAUGAUUGUAUAUGUUCAUUAACAUUGCCAUCUGUUCCUGUACAUGUUGCCGUUUUCAAAUCAAUUUUAUCUCUAAUACUUUUUGAGAAAAAUGCAAAGGAAAGAAAUUGCUUUAAGGGGAUAUAACUCUCAUAGGGGACGAUGCAAUCCUAUUCAACCUCAUAUGGUAAUACAUCAUGAUGAGAUCUACCUAUUGUCCAAAUAAGGUAAUGAUAUCUUGAAAAACAAUGAGAGGGGGCCAUGUUGAAAAAAACUGAUAAAAGGGAGAUAACUUAUAAAGGGGAUGAUGAAAUCCUUAACAGGGUCAUCUGGUUAUACCUCAUGAUGAGGUUUAUCGAUGGUCCAUGUUUGGUCUUGAUAACUUCAAAAGAAACAUGGGGAGGCCAUGCCAAAAAAAUGUUGGAAGAAAAAAAAGAAAAAAAAGAAAAAACAUUAGAAAAACAAUAAGGUCUUUCCUCAUGUAGGGGAAAGACCUUAAAAAACAGGAGAAAAACAAUAAGGUCUUUCCUCGCGGAGAGGAAAGACCUUAACAAGCAGUUACACUAAACCAAGUUUCUUGUGAAGAAAAAAAAAACAUUUUAAAACAACAAACACUGGACAUGCUGAAAACCAACAUCAAAUGAACAGGCAUUUUCAGAUAAAAAAACUUUUUAACCAAAACUGAAACUUUAACAUAGUGUCAUUAUCCAAUUUAUGACAUAAAAUAUGGUAUAAUUAUUAAAUACUGGAACACUUAUAAACAAGG